rnacentral:ribozyme from 1 species
UGCCCAGCAACUCCUAUCCCUACCUCCACGUGGUACCGGCCGGAAACUAUGAACAACCUUAGGGAAGAUCGGGUAACCAACCCCGGUGGGACCUUUGGUCGUAGGCUGACAGGGAAGG